AGGAGCCGGAUGAGUGGAGACGCUCACGUCCGGAUCUGAGAGAGCCUGGGGGUGAAAUUCCCCCGGGCCACUCGAC
rnacentral:ncRNA from 1 species